rnacentral:rRNA from 1 species
UAGGGAAUCUUCGGCAAUGGGGGGAACCCUGCCCGAGCAACGCCGCGGGAGGGAAGAAGGCUUUCGGAUCGUAAAGCUCUGUUGUUAAGGAAGAACGAGUGUGAGAAUGGAAAGUUCAUGCUGUGACGGUACUUAACCAGAAAGGGACGGCUAACUACGUGCCAGCAGCCGCGGUAAUACGUAGGUCCCGAGCGUUGUACGGAUUUAUUGGGCGUAAAGCGAGCGCAGGCGGUUAGAAAAGUCUGAAGUGAAAGGCAGUGGCUCAACCAUUGUAGGCUUUGGAAACUGUUUAACUUGAGUGCAGAAGGGGGGAGUGGAAUUCCAUGUGUAGCGGUGAAAUGCGUAGAUAUAUGGAGGAACACCGGUAGCGAAAGCGGCUCUCUGGUCUGUAACUGACGCUGAGGCUCGAAAGAGUGGGGAGCGAACAGG